AUCUGAGGAAUAAGCAUCGGCUAACUCUGUGCCAGCAGCCGCGGUAAGACAGAGGAUGCAAGCGUUAUCCGGAAUGAUUGGGCGUAAAGCGUCUGUAGGUGGCUUUUCAAGUCCGCCGUCAAAUCCCAGGGCUUUAGGAUUUAUGGUUAAAGAAGAAAAAGAAGAAAACAGGGGUUCUGUUGAAUUUCAAGUAUUCAGUUUCACCAAUAAGAUACGUCAAAUAGGAUUAUUUUCUUCGCG
rnacentral:ncRNA from 1 species